UACAGAGGGUGCAAGCGUUGUCCGGAAUUAUUGGGCGUAAAGAGCUCGUAGGCGGUCUGUCACGUCGGAUGUGAAAAUCCAGGGCUUAACCCUGGACCUGCAUUCGAUACGGGCAGACUAGAGUUCGGUAGGGGAGACUGGAAUUCCUGGUGUAGCGGUGAAAUGCGCAGAUAUCAGGAGGAACACCGGUGGCGAAGGCGGGUCUCUGGGCCGAUACUGACGCUGAGGCGCGAAAGCCAGGGGAGCAAACGGG
rnacentral:rRNA from 1 species